rnacentral:rRNA from 1 species
UUGAACGCUGGCGGCAGGCCUAACACAUGCAAGUCGAACGGUAACAGGAAGAAGCUUGCUUCUUUGCUGACGAGUGGCGGACGGGUGAGUAAUGUCUGGGAAACUGCCUGAUGGAGGGGGAUAACUACUGGAAACGGUAGCUAAUACCGCAUAACGUCGCAAGACCAAAGAGGGGGACCUUCGGGCCUCUUGCCAUCGGAUGUGCCCAGAUGGGAUUAGCUAGUAGGUGGGGUAACGGCUCACCUAGGCGACGAUCCCUAGCUGGUCUGAGAGGAUGACCAGCCACACUGGAACUGAGACACGGUCCAGACUCCUACGGGAGGCAGCAGUGGGGAAUAUUGCACAAUGGGCGCAAGCCUGAUGCAGCCAUGCCGCGUGUAUGAAGAAGGCCUUCGGGUUGUAAAGUACUUUCAGCGGGGAGGAAGGGAGUAAAGUUAAUACCUUUGCUCAUUGACGUUACCCGCAGAAGAAGCACCGGCUAACUCCGUGCCAGCAGCCGCGGUAAUACGGAGGGUGCAAGCGUUAAUCGGAAUUACUGGGCGUAAAGCGCACGCAGGCGGUUUGUUAAGUCAGAUGUGAAAUCCCCGGGCUCAACCUGGGAACUGCAUCUGAUACUGGCAAGCUUGAGUCUCGUAGAGGGGGGUAGAAUUCCAGGUGUAGCGGUGAAAUGCGUAGAGAUCUGGAGGAAUACCGGUGGCGAAGGCGGCCCCCUGGACGAAGACUGACGCUCAGGUGCGAAAGCGUGGGGAGCAAACAGGAUUAGAUACCCUGGUAGUCCACGCCGUAAACGAUGUCGACUUGGAGGUUGUGCCCUUGAGGCGUGGCUUCCGGAGCUAACGCGUUAAGUCGACCGCCUGGGGAGUACGGCCGCAAGGUUAAAACUCAAAUGAAUUGACGGGGGCCCGCACAAGCGGUGGAGCAUGUGGUUUAAUUCGAUGCAACGCGAAGAACCUUACCUGGUCUUGACAUCCACGGAAGUUUUCAGAGAUGAGAAUGUGCCUUCGGGAACCGUGAGACAGGUGCUGCAUGGCUGUCGUCAGCUCGUGUUGUGAAAUGUUGGGUUAAGUCCCGCAACGAGCACAACCCUUAUCCUUUGUUGCCAGCGGUCCGGCCGGGAACUCAAAGGAGACUGCCAGUGAUAAACUGGAGGAAGGUGAGGAUGACGUCAAGUCAUCAUGGCCCUUACGACCAGGGCUACACACGUGCUACAAUGGCGCAUACAAAGAGAAGCGACCUCGCGAGAGCAAGCGGACCUCAUAAAGUGCGUCGUAGUCCGGAUUGGAGUCUGCAACUCGACUCCAUGAAGUCGGAAUCGCUAGUAAUCGUGGAUCAGAAUGCCACGGUGAAUACGUUCCCGGGCCUUGUACACACCGCCCGUCACACCAUGGGAGUGGGUUGCAAAAGAAGUAGGUAGCUUAACCUUCGGGAGGGCGCUUACCACUUUGUGAUUCAUGACUGGGGUG